GGCAAGAUGGCCGAGCGGUUAAGGCGGUAGACUCAAGGGUGGUUAAAAUCCUUACCUGAACACCAGGCAACAUUCUACUGGGGCAACCCGCGUGGGUUCGAAUCCCACUCUUGUCA